UUUCCCUCAGGAUAGCUGGAGCACGCAACGUUUCGGAACCUAUUCUUAUCUGGUAAAGCGAAUGAUUAGAGGCCUUAGGUUCGAAAUGAUCUUAACCUAUUCUCAAACUAUAAAUGGGUACGUACCAUAGCAUUCUUGCAUGAUGCUGUUGCAACGUUGACGCCG
rfam:Aedes aegypti strain Liverpool supercont1.120 genomic scaffold, whole genome shotgun sequence.